CGGCGUGGAUGAGGCAUGCGAGUCGAACGAAGCUAGAGGGCAACCUUUAGUUUAGUGGCGAAAGGGUUAGUAAUACAUGAAUAACUUACCCUUUACCUGGGGAUAACGACUGGAAACAGGCGCUAAUACCGAAUGAGGUACCGAUAAGGAAUUAUAGGAUAUCAAAGUGGGGGACCUAGAAGUAGGCCUUGCGGUAAAGGAUAGGUUCAUGGGAUAUCAGCUAGUUGGUGUGGUAAAGGCGCACCAAGGCUAAGACGUCUAGGCGGAUUGAGAGAUUGACCGCCAACACUGGGACUGA
rnacentral:rRNA from 1 species